GGCCGCUGUGAUCCCUUCGGGGUGAACUUGGCGCUGACGAGUGGCGGACGGGUGCGUAACGCGUGGGAAUCUACCUUGUAGUGGGGGAUAGCCCGGAGAAAUCCGGAUUAAUACCGCAUAAUCUCUACGGAGCAAAGUGGGGGCUCUUCGGACCUCACGCUAUUAGAUGAGCCCGCGUUGGAUUAGCUUGUUGGUGGGGUAAUGGCCUACCAAGGCGACGAUCCAUAGCUGGUUUGAGAGGAUGAUCAGCCACACUGGGACUGAGACACGGCCCAGACUCCUACGGGAGGCAGCAGUGGGGAAUAUUGGACAAUGGGCGCAAGCCUGAUCCAGCAAUGCCGCGUGUGUGAAGAAGGCCUGAGGGUUGUAAAGCACUUUCAAUAGGGAUGAAAAGCUCCGGGUUAAUACCCCGGAGUCUUGACUUUACCUAUAGAAGAAGCACCGGCUAACUCCGUGCC
rnacentral:rRNA from 1 species